GACGAACGCUGGCGGCGUGCUUAACACAUGCAAGUCGAACGGAAAGGCCCUGCUUUUGUGGGGUGCUCGAGUGGCGAACGGGUGAGUAACACGUGAGUACCCUGCCCUUGACUUUGGUAUACCUUCAGGACACUGGGGCUAAUACCGGAUAGGAGCUCCUGCUGCAUGGUGGGGGUUGGAUUGUUUCGGCGGUUGGGGAUGGACUCGCGGCUUAUCAGCUUGUUGGUGGGGUAGUGGCUUACCAAGGCGUUGACGGGUAGCCGGCCUGAGAGGGUGACCGGCCACAUUGGGACUGAGAUACGGCCCAGACUCCUACGGGAGGCAGCAGUGGGGAAUAUUGCACAAUGGGCGGAAGCCUGAUGCAGCAACGCCGCGUGCGGGAUGACGGCCUUCGGGUUGUAAACCGCUUUCGCCUGUGACGAAGCGUGAGGGAAGGGAAUGGGGAAAGGAGCACCGGCUAACUACGGG
rnacentral:rRNA from 1 species